rnacentral:rRNA from 1 species
ACGGCGAGUGAAGCGGGAAGAGCUCAAGCUUAAAAUCUCCGUGCAAGUUUUGUGCGGCGAAUUGUAGUCUAUAGAGGCGUGGUCAGCGUGGGCGCUUGGGGCAAGUUCCUUGGAAGAGGACAGCAUGGAGGGUGAUACUCCCGUUCAUCCCUGAGUGGCUCGUGCGUACGACCCGUUUUCUUUGAGUCGCGUUGUUUGGGAAUGCAGCGCAAAGUAGGUGGUAAAUUCCAUCUAAAGCUAAAUAUUGGUGCGAGACCGAUAGCGAACAAGUACCGUGAGGGAAAGAUGAAAAGAACUUUGAAAAGAGAGUUAAAGAGUACCUGAAACUGCUGAAAGGGAACCGAAUCGUUUCCAGUGUCUAUAAUCUGUGGCAUAUUUCAUUGGCGAGCGUUUGCGUGCGUGUGCUGUGGCAGUGGCUUUUUUGGCUGCGCCUGGUGUGUGUGGUGUGAGUGUUUGCUGGUGCCCUGUGCUGCGGUGGGACGUCAAGGUCAGUUCGUAUGCUGCGGGAAAUGGCUGCCGAGGAGGUAGGGCUUACGCUCCGCGUUUGUCUGUUAUAUCUUGGUGGACGAGUCGUCGCGGUUGGGACUGAGGUGCCUACAACGUGCUUUUGAGUGGGUUUGUGUCUCCGUGUGCGCCGUGUGCGGAUAGCUUGCUAUGCGUGUGUGGUUGUGUGUGGAUUGAUGCGGGCCUUAACUUUGUCGCCGUUCGGGACGUUGACGAA